UUGGUUGGAAAGUCCUCGAAC
rnacentral:miRNA from 1 species